UCUCUUUCCUUAGAUUCUUCAUCUCUGCUUCCGCCUAACUGGCGGGUGGUUGUUAUUCUCCACCCAUCAGGCCUUUAAAUCUUUCAAAUUCAACAAAGACCUUUAUAGUAUAUAUGCUAUCACAAAAGUUCUACAUGGGACCGAUGUUUCAAACAUUACA